UGCGCAGGCGGCCAGGUGUGUCUAGGGUGAAAUACUGCAGCUUAACUGUAGAACUGCCUUAGAAACUACCUGGCUAGAGUAUCGGAGAGGCAAGCGGAAUUCCAGGUGUAGCAGUGAAAUGCGUAGAUAUCUGGAGGAACACCGAUGGCGAAGGCAGCUUGCUGGACGAUUACUGACGCUCAGGCACGAAAGCGAUGGGGAGCGAAAG
rnacentral:rRNA from 1 species